AGAGUUUGAUCAUGGCUCAGGAUGAACGCUAGCUACAGGCUUAACACAUGCAAGUCGAGGGGAAACGAUAUUGGAAGCUUGCUUCCGCUAGGCGUCGACCGGCGCACGGGUGAGUAACGCGUAUCCAACCUGCCCACCACUUGGGGAUAACCUUGCGAAAGUAAGACUAAUACCCAAUGACGUCUCUAGAAGACAUCUGAAGGAGAUUAAAGAUUUAUCGGUGAUGGAUGGGGAUGCGUCUGAUUAGCUUGUUGGCGGGGUAACGGCCCACCAAGGCAACGAUCAGUAGGGGUUCUGAGAGGAAGGUCCCCCACAUUGGAACUGAGACACGGUCCAAACUCCUACGGGAGGCAGCAGUGGGGAAUAUUGCACAAUGGGCGAAAGCCUGAUGCAGCGACGCCGCGUGAGCGAAGAAGUAUUUCGGUAUGUAAAGCUCUAUCAGCAGGGAAGAUAAUGACGGUACCUGACUAAGAAGCACCGGCUAAAUACGUGCCAGCAGCCGCGGUAAUACGUUUGGUGCAAGCGUUAUCCGGAUUUACUGGGUGUAAAGGGAGCGCAGGCGGUGCGGCAAGUCUGAUGUGAAAGCCCGGGGCUCAACCCCGGUACUGCAUUGGAAACUGUCGUACUAGAGUGUCGGAGGGGUAAGCGGAAUUCCUAGUGUAGCGGUGAAAUGCGUAGAUAUUAGGAGGAACACCAGUGGCGAAGGCGGCUUACUGGACGAUAACUGACGCUGAGGCUCGAUAGCGUGGGGAGCAAACAGGAUUAGAUACCCUGGUAGUCCACGCCGUAAACGAUGAGUACUAGGUGUUGGGAAGCAUUGCUUCUCGGUGCCGUCGCAAACGCAGUAAGUAUUCCACCUGGGGAGUACGUUCGCAAGAAUGAAACUCAAAGGAAUUGACGGGGACCCGCACAAGCGGUGGAGCAUGUGGUUUAAUUCGAAGCAACGCGAAGAACCUUACCAAGUCUUGACAUCCUUCUGACCGGUACUUAACCGUAUCUUCUCUUCGGAGCAGGAGUGACAGGUGGUGCAUGGUUGUCGUCAGCUCGUGUCGUGAGAUGUUGGGUUAAGUCCCGCAACGAGCGCAACUCUUAUCUUUAGUAGCCAGCGGUUUGGCCGGGCACUCUAGAGAGACUGCCAGGGAUAACCUGGAGGAAGGCGGGGAUGACGUCAAAUCAUCAUGCCCCUUAUGACUUGGGCUACACACGUGCUACAAUGGCGUAAACAAAGGGAAGCAAAGCUGUGAAGCCGAGCAAAUCUCAAAGAUAACGUCUCAGUUCGGACUGUAGUCUGCAACCCGACUACACGAAGCUGGAAUCGCUAGUAAUCGCAGAUCAGAAUGCUGCGGUGAAUACGUUCCCGGGUCUUGUACACACCGCCCGUCACACCAUGGGAGUUGGGAAUGCCCGAAGCCAGUGACCUAACCGAAAGGAAGGAGCUGUCGAAGGCAGGCUCGAUAACUGGGGUGAAGUCGUAACAAAGUA
rnacentral:rRNA from 1 species